AUUUGUUAUUGUUUAUAAUCAACAUUUGGUUAUGUAAUUUUUAAAUUUGAUUAUUUUGUUGUAUAGUUAUUUCAAAUCGGAAUACGUUCGCAAACCUUCAGAAGGUUUAACACUUAUUUUAUAUCUUUACAAACUGAUUUUUUGAAAUUCUGAUUUGAUAGUUUAUGAGAGAUUAAUCAUGAGUGCAGUAAAGCGAGUGAUGCGAGAUUAUGGAUUUUUUUUUGUUGCAAUACCUGGUCUUGUUGCUAUCCAUUGGGCUUGGUUCAGGCUGCAAGGCAAUGAGCUGUUUGUUCCCAGAGAAAGUCGACUGAAUAAUCCACUUAUCCAAAAGAUAGAUAGUUACAUGGAUACUGUUAAAAAUGUAUUUUCUAGCAAAUCAAAUAGCACUUCUAGCCCUACUGAAUAAUGUUAUUUGGUUACAUUUAUAUUUGUAAAUUAUCUGUAAAUAGCAGUAGCAAAAAUAAAAAUAUUUUAAUUGUGUGAA